UAACGUUUGAAAUAAUAACCUCAAAUUCCGUUCCGCACUGUCAUUAGAAAUGAAACAAUAGCAUGUCCUGACACUAAUGUUAGUUUUAUGCUUAUAUAAAUGUAGGGAUUUCCUACUUAAAUAAAUUUUCUUUGAGUUUUUGACAUAAGUUUAUUUACCAUUAGUUUUUUUAGUUUGUAUAAUUUAGUGUAACUGUUGUGUUAUUACUAGAAUUUUAGUACACCUAAACUAACCUCGCUAACCUGCAAAUAUUGUAAUAAAUACAACAAGAGAGAAACUAUUCACAUUAAUGCAAUAAUAAUAUCAUAAUAUUAGUUAACAAUUAAAUCCUUUGUGUCGAAAACAGGAAUUUUACGGACAUUUGCCAUCGUUUAGUGAUAUAACGCAAUCUACGUUACGAAAUCUGCAAUCUAAUCUCUUCUUCAGAUACAAGGACAGAUUCACCAUUGAAUUGGAUGGAAUUGGUUGCUGCAAUCCUCAUUGUUGGUGAAAACUUGAAAACACUGCUUACACGUCGCGAUGCUGGGCAACUGCAACAAAUAUCUGAAACACAUUGUUCGUAUGACACAUUGCAAUGCCCGCUGAUGUUUUGGCAAGGAGAAGAUGGAUAUUGUUUCAAUAUCAAAAUGAGAAAUCCAUUGAAUGGUGAGGAAACUACCAGGAAGGCAAGCUCGAUGAAUUAUUACACAUAUCGUUUGAUGAUUUGUCAAAAUGCUGACUACUAUUUCCUGCGAUUUCGUCGAUUCUGCAAUAUUGUGUUGGACAUGUACUUCAAAAUCGAAACGGAGCGCUUAACUUUCAUUCGGUUGAACCAAACCAAACUACGUUUGGAGGUGUAUAUCCAUUUACGCAAUGCAAUUAGCACUGAAGGAAAUGCAGCUAAUAUUGGUGAAUUGACUACUCUGCCGGUGACGUACAUAGGUAGUCGAUGUCAUAUGCAUGAAUAUGCCCAAGAUGCAAUGACAUAUGUUAGUUAUUACGUUGGCCAGAUCUCUUCAUUACUUUUACGUGUAAUCCAAAAGUGUGAUUUGGAUUUGUUUUUAAAUGAUAAUAGUGAAACUGAAAGUGCCUUGAAUGUAUGGAAAAUUAAGACAGUUAUAUUUUUAAGGAUGAAAUUUUAUAUUAUAUUUGUGUAUUUGUAUAUCAUUGUAAGACGUAUUAAAAGAAGUAUUAAAUGUAACAAUUGCAGUUCUGUACUCUAUCCCAAUGAGUGUGAUCUUAGAAUCACUUUUUUACUGAUUUAAAAUUUAAUGGUAAAUUACUUAGAUCAAGUGAAGAUGUAUUGAAAAUUGUAAAAUAUUGUUAUUUUCUCAAGGUAUCUAAAACAAAUGUGACCACUUCUGAAUUGACAUAAAGAGUUUGUAAC